UACGGAAGGCAGCAGUGGGGAAGUAUUGCACAAUGGGCGCAAGCCUGAUGCAGCCAUGCCGCGUGUAUGAAGAAGGCCUUCGGGUUGUAAAGUACUUUCAGUCGUGAGGAAGGUGUUAAGGUUAAUAAUCUUAGCAAUUGACGUUAGCGACAGAAGAAGCACCGGCUAACUCCGUGCCAGCAGCCGCGGUAAUACGGAGGGUGCGAGCGUUAAUCGGAAUUACUGGGCGUAAAGGGCACGCAGGCGGUUAAUUAAGUUGGAUGUGAAAUCCCCGGGCUUAACCUGGGAAUGGCAUUCAAGACUGGUUAGCUAGAGUCUUGUAGAGGGGGUAGAAUUCCAUGUGUAGCGGUGAAAUGCGUAGAGAUGUGGAGGAAUACCGGUGGCGAAGGCGGCCCCUGGGACAAAGACUGACGCUCAUGUGCGAAAGCGUGGGGAGCGAAACGAGGAUUAGAUACC
rnacentral:rRNA from 1 species